UUCCAAAUAACAUAGUCAAAAGACCAAAAGAUAGAUACUAAAUAAAAAUUGAAUGGGGGAAAGCAAAAUGUGUCAAAAUUUUUUGGAAAUGAGAAUGGAUUAAAUUUAAUGAUUGAAGCAAUUCUAAUAAAUUUUCAGAAUUAAAAAUAAUGGCAAAGUUUCCUAUAUGGUGCCCAAUUUCUAUAAUGUGCAAUGAUUCUCAGUUUCCAUAAUGUUAUCAGCUCCUUUGCUCUAACCACAAGAACACUGGACAAACCAUAUCUUUCAAAAAUCCAAUUAUAACUAAUAUAUAUGAGCUAACUAUCAAACAAGUUUUUUAUAAAAAGGACAAAUUACUCUUAAUGUUAAUACAUUAAGGAAUUCCAAAAGAUAAAAAUUAUUUUUAUGCUCAGGACAAAAAUUGUCUACUACUUAUAAUAUUCCAAGUGCUAUAGUUUAGAUCUGGAAUGACCUCCAAAGACCCAUGUAUUAAAGUUUAGUCCACUAUUGAAAGGUGGUUCAAACCUUGAAAAAGGUAUAGUAGGAAGUCUUAGAUCACUGGGGUCAUGCCUUUUAAAGGGAUGAUAGGACUCUUCUUCCUCUUCUCUUUUACUUUCAACUAUAAGAUAAGGAAUUCUGCC
rnacentral:lncRNA from 1 species